AAGAGGUAAUAAAUGACCUUUGCAAUAGUGUGACCAAGUCAAGCCCACCAAAAAAUGAUAGGUAAGAGUUUGCUCAUGAGCUGUGUCCUGCCCAAAGGUCACAACCAGGCAGUAAGGUAGAUGGGAGCAAACUUGCCACACUGGAUUUUUUUGGAGGGCUUGUGUUACCCUUGAUAAAAAUCUUGUUGGUAUUUGGAGCAGAACAGCUCUGAUGGACACUUAACCUGACUCUUGCUACACUCUCCCAUUACUACUUUGCCAAAAUCCCAGCAUAGAGUUAUUCUUGCUCAAAAGAAAAAAUUCUUCUGGCCUGGAUACAUCUCCCAAAUUUUCAGGCAUUAUUUUUCAAUACCUAUGCAGAAAUGACUGUUCCUAGUGAAGCUGGGCUCCUUCAGGAUCCCCUGUCCUUGCUGUGCUAGCCAUGUGUAAGCUGCUGCUAAGCCCUGUGCCCCGCUGAGGCCCCAGCAUGUGGGUGCAAACCCCAAAUGUGCAGCCUGGACACACCAGUGACUGUCACUGCAGGGCUGCACACACCUCAAACCUUCCUUGUCAAAACCUCCAGAAGGAAUGUCUUGUGCAGAAAGAGCAUUAAAUAAAAUUUAGGCUUCUAGAAGCCACCUGGUUUUGGUUUUUUUUUUCAUUUUUUCCUGGAGAAAUAUCUCCUUACCCCCAGUGAAUUCUUACUGAUUUUUAGAAAAAUAUGCUCUUUUGUAGGAUCUUGUGAGAUGGCAGGAGCCAAAGGGCUCUGCAGAGCCUUGUGUUGCAGUCAGAGUUCAAAAAGCACUGUAAAAAUGUUGUAACAGUCCAAUGAGAGGAAAGGGGGAGGCAUGACAUGGAAGUCCCAUGGUGCUCCCUAAGGGCACCAUCCUGCAUCUGCAGAGGGUAAAGAGGAUUUUAGACAACGUGUUGGACCUUUUCUCAGCUCCAGCCAGAGGUCCUGGUGCUGUGUUGCAGCAUGAGAACCCUUUCCAGCUCACCACAGGGUCCUGACAGCAUCCGGGCUGCUGAAACACCAGGGACCUGACCCUGUCAUGCCCACGCUUUACCAUUCAUCUCAUCCAGGCAUUUAUUUUUGGUAACUACAAUGUGAGUAGUGGUAAGAUUUCUACUUGAGCUCCAACCAAC
rnacentral:lncRNA from 13 species